AUUGAACGCUGGCGGCAUGCCUUACACAUGCAAGUCGAACGGCAGCACGGGAGCAAUCCUGGUGGCGAGUGGCGAACGGGUGAGUAAUACAUCGGAACGUGCCCAAUCGUGGGGGAUAACGCAGCGAAAGCUGUGCUAAUACCGCAUACGAUCUACGGAUGAAAGCAGGGGAUCGCAAGACCUUGCGCGAAUGGAGCGGCCGAUGGCAGAUUAGGUAGUUGGUGAGGUAAAGGCUCACCAAGCCGUCGAUCUGUAGCUGGUCUGAGAGGACGACCAGCCACACUGGGACUGAGACACGGCCCAGACUCCUACGGGAGGCAGCAGUGGGGGAAUUUUGGACAAUGGGCGAAAGCCUGAUCCAUCCAUGCCGCGCCGCAGGGGCAUC
rnacentral:rRNA from 1 species